GGAUCGAGGGGCGGCCCGUGGGACGGCCGUCGCGGAUGGAUCCCCGGCGAUUCCCCUGUGAGCGGACCUCCCGCCGCGGCCCCGGCGGCCGGGAGG
rfam:Rubellimicrobium thermophilum DSM 16684 genomic scaffold R1_scaffold5, whole genome shotgun sequence.